GCCCGUCGCUACUACCGAUGAAAUGGUUUAGUGAGGUCCUCCGAUUGGACCCGGUCCGGGCGGCGACGUCCGAAGCCGGCGUCCGAGAAGACGAUCUAACUUGAUCAUUUAGAGGAAGUAAAAGUCGUAACAAGGUUUCCGUAGGUGAACCUGCGGAAGGAUCAUUA
rfam:Ciona savignyi cont_42687, whole genome shotgun sequence.